rnacentral:rRNA from 1 species
CAUGUAGGCGGCUCGCCAAGUCUGAUGUGAAAGCCCUGGCUCAACCCAGGAAGUGCAUUGGAAACUGGCGAACUUGAGUACGGGAGAGGAAAGUGGAAUUUCGAGUGUAGGGGUGAAAUCCGUAGAUAUUCGAAGGAACACCAGUGGCGAAGGCGGCUUUCUGGACCGAUACUGACGCUGAGAUGCGAAAGCGUGGGGAGCAAACAGGAUUAGAUACCCUGGUAGUCC